GUGGUACUAGCUCAGUUGGCAGGAAAGCCUAAGCGCAGGUCUCAUAUCUGAAAGAUAUCCUGAGGUCGUGAGUUCGAAUAUACUUAAAAGUCUCACGUACCACA
rnacentral:tRNA from 1 species